rnacentral:tRNA from 1 species
GAGGGUACAGCUCAGGGGUAGAGUGCAUGCCUAGCAUGCGCAAGGUCCUGGGUUCAAUCCCUAGUACCUCCA